UUUUACUCCGUUUCACCAUCUUUCUCGCCCUGGGAUGAGAGCGACGCAAACAGAAAAACUGAGUAGGUUAAAAGAAAAGGGUUUAUGGAGAAGGAAGAUGGACAUAUCGGCGCCAAAUUAGGGUUUUGCUAUUAGAUGUACUUGGAUCAUUACCCGACCCGUUAUAGUUGACCCGAAUCAACUUAAAAAUAUUGAAAAAAUAAUUGGGGUGAGAGAGGCUCGAACUCUCGACCUCAGGAUUACUCAGAUAGCUAUGAGACCUACGCGCUAGCCAACUGCGCCACCACCCCGAU
rnacentral:tRNA from 1 species